rnacentral:rRNA from 1 species
ACGGGAGGCAGCAGUGGGGAAUAUUGCACAAUGGGGGAAACCCUGAUGCAGCGACGCCGCGUGAGUGAAGAAGUAUUUCGGUAUGUAAAGCUCUAUCAGCAGGGAAGAAAAUGACGGUACCUGACUAAGAAGCACCGGCUAAAUACGUGCCAGCAGCCGCGGUAAUACGUAUGGUGCAAGCGUUAUCCGGAUUUACUGGGUGUAAAGGGAGCGUAGACGGCGAGGCAAGUCUGAAGUGAAAUGCGGGGGCUCAACCCCUGAACUGCUUUGGAAACUGUUUUGCUAGAGUGCAGGAGAGGUAAGUGGAAUUCCUAGUGUAGCGGUGAAAUGCGUGGAUAUUAGGAGGAACACCGGCGGCGAAGGCGGCUUACUGGACUGUAACUGACGUUGAGGCUCGAAAGCGUGGGGAGCAAACAGGAUUAGAUACCCUGGUA